rnacentral:rRNA from 1 species
AUUGCGAAGGCGAUCUGCUGGAACUCAACUGACGCUAAGGCGCGAAAGCGUGGGGAGCAAACAGGAUUAGAUACCCUGGUAGUCCACGCCCUAAACGAUGUACACUAGUUGUUGGGAUGCUAGUCAUCUCAGUAAUGCAGCUAACGCAUUAAGUGUACCGCCUGGGGAGUACGGUCGCAAGAUUAAAACUCAAAGGAAUAGACGGGGACCCGCACAAGCGGUGGAGCAUGUGGUUUAAUUCGAAGAUACGCGAAGAACCUUACCUGGGCUUGAUAUCCUAAGAACCUUAUAGAGAUAUGAGGGUGCUAGCUUGCUAGAACUUAGAGACAGGUGCUGCACGGCUGUCGUCAGCUCGUGUCGUGAGAUGUUGGGUUAAGUCCCGCAACGAGCGCAACCCACGUAUUUAGUUGCUAACGGUUCGGCCGAGCACUCUAAAUAGACUGCCUUCGUAAGGAGGAGGAAGGUGUGGACGACGUCAAGUCAUCAUGGCCCUUAUGCCCAGGGCGACACACGUGCUACAAUGGCAUAUACAAUGAGACGCAAUACCGCGAGGUGGAGCAAAUCUAUAAAAUAUGUCCCAGUUCGGAUUGUUCUCUGCAACUCGAGAGCAUGAAGCCGGAAUCGCUAGUAAUCGUAGAUCAGCCAUGCUACGGUGAAUACGUUCCCGGGUCUUGUACUCACCGCCCGUCACACCAUGGGAGUUGAUUUCACUCGAAGCCGGAAUACUAAACUAGUUACCGUCCACAGUGGAAUCAGCGACUGGGGUGAAGUCGUAACAAGGUAACCGUAGGAGAACCUGCGGUUGGAUCACCUCCUUUCUA